UACAGGGGGGGCAAGCGUUGUUCGGAAUUACUGGGCGUAAAGGGCUCGUAGGUGGCCAACUAAGUCAGACGUGAAAUCCCUCAGCUUAACUGGGGAACUGCGUCUGAUACUGGAUGGCUUGAGUUUGGGAGAGGGAUGCGGAAUUCCUGGUGUAGCGGUGAAAUGCGUAGAUAUCUGGAGGAACACCGGUGGCGAAGGCGGCAUCCUGGACCAACACUGACACUGAGGAGCGAAAGCCAGGGGAGCAAACGGG
rnacentral:rRNA from 1 species